AUGGAUAAAUAAAUAAAAAUGAAAAUUAGUAAGUCUGAGAAGCUAUUUAAAGUAUCACUAUCAGCAGAGACUGCAAAAUAUAAGUCUCUAUAUCAAUUUCAGAACCUGAACUUUGUUCAAAAAUUUAGGUACAACUAGCUCAGGCAUUAAAAAAUUCGAAAAUUGUGCAUUUGCUGCUCUUUAAUUAGAGUUUGGCUACUGAUCCACCUAUUAGGCCAGCAUUAUUCUGGAAUUGAAGUGCUGCCUAUUAUUCCCAAAAUUAUUCCGAAAUAAUCGGGACACCCCUAGGCAGUACUACUCAUUGAUUAGAGAGAAGGAGUGAUGAGGAUAUCAAAGAGAUUAUUUAGUAGUCACAAUGCUAAUGUACUGGAAUGUGGUGUACCUGUAUAAGUAGUAGUGUCAUUGGUACUGGAUAGAGCUAUUAGAGAGGAGGAAGAGGAGACAGUAAAGGAAGCAUGUCAUUCACUACUAGUGAUGUAUGACAGGAUCACUUUAUAAUCAUUGAUUAGAGUGUAUGUAUGUAACUGGAACUUUAAAACAUCAUGAACACCCACGCAAUGGAAGUGUAUUAAUUAAGUGAUUGUGGGAGUGGCUGGAUAUGAUGGCUGGAGUUGAUGAUGAGAAUUGUUGUGGGGAUUGUGAUGAAAAUAAUGGAUCAUCUAGAUGAAGCUGUUACUAAAUCCAGAAGCUCCUUGAAGACUAUGUUUAAUAAAGGAGUGAAGUACCAGGCCUACUUGAAGAGAGUUGUAGAAACUAAGGGGGUUGGUAAAACCGGGCUCGGGAGGGGCUCGGGCACGGGAAAUGGCGGGGUAAAACCGGGCUGCCCCGGACUGGGGCUUCACCUAUUUUCAUGGAAUAAGGACUGAUAUGGAGCUAGUAAGGACAUAGAACAAACUACUGAGGAAGCCAUGAAUCCCCCUUGACUAAUGCUGGGAACAAGGCCGCUCUACUCCCAUCUUUCUACGGUCCACUUUAACUCUCUCAUUUUUAUUUCUGAUUUUAUUUGCUGUCAUUGUUAUCUUAAUUCUCAUUUUCCUUGAUUGUUGAUUUAUUUUUAUUUAUUUAUAUUUAUUACUAUUAUUUUUACUGUUGAUCAUUAUUCAUUUCCACUUUUCUUUUUGUUUUCCAGGGGCCAUAGCAGUUCAGUCUUGCUGGGAUGUCUGUACUGUAUUAUCAAACUUACUCAAUUUGGUUUAUUGUAAAUGAAUUAUAUUACAAAACCGAA